rnacentral:tRNA from 1 species
UACAACCUGGUGUAAUGAAGCACUUCAACUUUUGAGGUUGAUCGUAAUAGUUUGAUUCUAUUGAUUGUAU